UGUUGUAUUUUCCGUCCCUGUCUUUGUUCCCGUCGAGUUCACCAACGCCGUCGUUGUUGUAGUCGACGUGUCCCGUAUACUGGGAGGAUCGGCGAGUAUUGCUGCUAAUUGUUCCUAAAGAAAAAUCGCUCGCAGAAUAAAGUUAACGAGUUGAGAUGGGAAAGAUUGCAACAGGGUUUUACCUUUCGAUUCUUUAUUUCAAUGAAAAGAAAAAAGAAAAAAAAAAGACAAAAAGAAAAACUAUAUAUAACGUUAACAAAAACAGCGAUAUUAUCUAUAUAUUAAGUAUAAUAAAUCUCGUUGAAAUAUUAAAAGAAUAAAAAAAAAAAUUAAAACAAA